UGAAAUCUGGCUCUCGGGCCCGAGUUGUAAUUUGUAGAGGAUACUUUUGAUGCGGUGCCUUCCGAGUUCCCUGGAACGGGACGCCAUAGAGGGUGAGAGCCCCGUCUGGUUGGAUGCCAAAUCUCUGUAAAGUUCCUUCGACGAGUCGAGUAGUUUGGGAAUGCUGCUCUAAAUGGGAGGUAUAUGUCUUCUAAAGCUAAAUACCGGCCAGAGACCGAUAGCGCACAAGUAGAGUGAUCGAAAGAUGAAAAGCACUUUGAAAAGAGAGUUAAAAAGUACGUGAAAUUGUUGAAAGGGAAGCGUUUAUGACCAGACUUGGGCUUGGUUAAUCAUCUGGGGUUCUCUCCAGUGCACUUUUCCAGUCCAGGCCAGCAUCAGUUUCCCCCGGGGGAUAAAGACUUCGGGAAUGUGGCUCUCUUCGGGGAGUGUUAUAGCCCGUUGUGUAAUACCCUGGGGGGGACUGAGGUUCGCGCAUCUGCAAGGAU
rnacentral:rRNA from 1 species